rnacentral:rRNA from 1 species
AUUGAACGCUGGCGGCAUGCCUUACACAUGCAAGUCGAACGGUAACAGGUCUUCGGAUGCUGACGAGUGGCGAACGGGUGAGUAAUACAUCGGAACGUGCCUAGUAGUGGGGGAUAACUACUCGAAAGGGUGGCUAAUACCGCAUGAGAUCUACGGAUGAAAGCAGGGGAUCGCAAGACCUUGUGCUACUAGAUCGGCCGAUGGCAGAUUAGGUAGUUGGUGGAGUAAAAGCUUACCAAGCCGACGGUCUGUAGCUGGUCUGAGAGGACGAUCAGCCACACUGGGACUGAGGCACGGCCCAGACUCCUACGGGGGGCAGCAGUGGGGAAUUUUGGACAAUGGGCGCAAGCCUGAUCCAGCAAUGCCGCGUGCAGGAUGAAGGCCUUCGGGUUGUAAACUGCUUUUGUACGGAACGAAAAGCCCUGGGUUAAUACCCUGGGGUCAUGACGGUACCGUAAGAAUAAGCACCGGCUAACUACGUGCCAGCCGCCGCCGUAA